UCAUCGUCAAAGGAUUGACGAAAAGGUAAUUCAGGUUAUGUCCUCAUCAAGGGGUUGAUGGAAAGGACUUAUUAUGUUAUGUAUGCAUAUGAUGCAUGUUAAAUAAUAAUUUCUCAUUUUUGUGAGAGAGCUUUUUGAUAUGCAACUUCCUUAUUUUGAAAGAAGGUCAUGUGUGUUUAUUGUAUGCAGUGCAUGUGGUAAUGCAAGAUGAAUAUUGAUUGUCUUUUGAUUGAUCUCCCUUUUGGGAGGUGAGACUUUCUGGGUACCAAUGUUGAUUGGAUUUAAGUUUAUGAAGAUGCCAGCGAGGUGGGCUUUUAUUUCUAGUGAUGGCUAAUAUGGAGUGGGCUUUCGGUUUUGGGGAUGACAAUAGCGAUUGGGCUUUAUGGUUAAUGAUAGAGAUUUGUUUUGGGAGGUGCCAAUAACGAUUGGGCUUUAUAGAGAUUUGUUUUGGGAGGUGCCAAUAACGAUUAGGUUUUACGGUUUUUUGGUUUCGACGGGAUCAGGUUGGAUCUGAUGAUGAUUAUAUUUUUGGGUUUGCCAAGUAGGCUUUAAUUUUGGAAGGUAUCAAGCGAAGCUUGGCUUCUUGUUGGGGAAGGGCUUCAUGUUAUGCAUGAUGCAUGAUAUGUAUGAGUGAAGCAAC
rnacentral:lncRNA from 1 species